AUUGAACGCUGGCGGCAUGCCUUACACAUGCAAGUCGGACGGUAACGGGCCUUCGGGUGCCGACGAGUGGCGAACGGGUGAGUAAUAUAUCGGAACGUACCUUUCAGUGGGGGAUAACGUAGCGAAAGUUACGCUAAUACCGCAUAUUCUGUGCGCAGGAAAGCAGGGGACCUUCGGGCCUUGCGUCGAUUGAGCGGCCGAUAUCAGAUUAGCUAGUUGGUGAGGUAAAGGCUCACCAAGGAGACGAUCUGUAGCGGGUCUGAGAGGAUGAUCCGCAACACUGGAGCUGAGGCACGGUCCAGACUCCUACGGGAGGCAGCAGUGGGGAAUUUUGGACAAUGGGGGCAACCCGGAUCCAGCCAUGCCGCGUGAGUGAAGAAGGCCUUCGGGUUGUAAAGCUCUUUCGGCCGGGAAGAAAUCGUAUGGGCUAAUACCCUGUGCGGAUGACGGUACCGGCAUAAGAAGCACCGGCUAACUACGUGCCAGCCGCCGCAGUAAAAC
rnacentral:rRNA from 1 species